rnacentral:rRNA from 1 species
AACGAACGCUGGCGGCAUGCCUAACACAUGCAAGUCGAACGAGACCUUCGGGUCUAGUGGCGCACGGGUGCGUAACGCGUGGGAACCUGCCCUUAGGUUCGGAAUAACUCCCCGAAAGGGGUGCUAAUACCGGAUAAUGUCUUCGGACCAAAGAUUUAUCGCCUUUGGAUGGGCCCGCGUUGGAUUAGCUAGUUGGUAGGGUAAAAGCCUACCAAGGCGACGAUCCAUAGCUGGUCGGUGAGGAUGAUCAGCCACACUGGGACUGAGACACGGCCCAGACUCCUACGGGAGGCAGCAGUGGGGAAUAUUGGACAAUGGGCGAAAGCGUAAUCCAGCAAUGCCGCGUGAGUGAUGAAGGCCUUAGGGUUGUAAAGCUCUUUUACCCGGGAUGAUAAUGACAGUACCGGGAGAAUAAGCUCCGGCUAACUACGUG